rnacentral:lncRNA from 7 species
AUAAUUGUAGCGGCUCUUUUCAUUGCAGCCAGACAUUUCAUAAAUAGAUAAUUCUCUAAUUGAUCCGGCCAGUCCCACUUUGCAUACCCCGCCAAACUAGACUCUUUAGUGCAGUCCUGAUUUCUGCAUUAAUGAAUUGAGAAGAUGACAUCAGGCUCUUAGUUCAGACAGUGAAGCAGGGAAUCAGUGAUUUGCACAUCUCCGACUGUGCUCCGCCCCUGAGAGAAGAAUGCAUACUUGCUCAACUCUUCCCAUAAAAUGAUCAACUGGGGAUAUAGUGACACUGAAGUCAUAAAUGGAUACAAAGGGUAUCCAUAGUGCACUUUAGGAGAAAGAUUUCAUAACACCAAGAAAUGCUAUCAGUUUGUAUUUAUGAUUCAGGCCAGGCUGGAUUGGGCCCUGAGCAGCCUGAUCUAGUGGGUGGAAACCUGCCCAUCACAAGGGGUUGGAAUAGAUGAUCUUAAAAAUCCCUUCCAACUGAAGCCUUUAUGUGAUUUAGUACAUCUGUUCAUGAAAAUUUAACUGUUAUAUCAGUGGUGUAAAUACUUGAACUUCAUUCAAAAGAAACAAGCCAUCAAAAACUAAAAUGGCAACAGAACUCCAGCAAUAUCCGCACUAACCUAGACCAUCAUGCGUACAUGCCUCAGAGCUUAGAACUCUUUAGAACCAUGGCUCAUAUUUAAAAACUAUCUGCUGCUGUGAUUACCAGAUAUAUUGAAUUAAAACUGUAUUCAGACUAACUGUAAUUUUGAGUGUUGUCAGACACUUUCUGUGUUGAAAUGGCUUUUCAGACAGGCUUAUAGAAACCGAACACUGUACAGCUCCUUAUGUGUCCAAGAAGACAGAAAAAAACAUUCAAUCUUUACAAUACAGAGAGGAAUUGACUUACAUGGACUUCAUAGGAGUUUGACUUCCUAGAUGUCACAAAAGUCAAACAUGAUGAACCACUUGAAAUGCUGGAAAAUUUGAUUCUAAUUCUUUGAAGAAAAUAUAAAUGGAGAUUUGUAC